AAUAGAUACCCGGGUAGUCCACGCCGUAAACGAUGGAUGCUAGCUGUUAUGCGUAUCGACCCGUGUAGUAGCGAAGCUAACGCGUUAAGCAUCCCGCCUGGGGAGUACGAACGCAAGUUUAAAACUCAAAGGAAUUGACGGGGACCCGCACAAGCGGUGGAGCGUGUUCUUUAAUUCGAGGCUAAGCGAAGAGCCUUACCAGGGCUUGACAUCCUUGGAAUUUCUCCGAAAGGAGAGAGUACUUUAUUGGACCAAGUGACAGGUGCUGCAUGGCCGUCGUCAGCUCGUGUCGUGAGAUGUUUGGUUAAGUCCAUUAACGAGCGCAACCCUUAUGAAUAGUUGUAUUUUUCUAUUCAGACUGCCCCGGUAACGGGGAGAAGGGGGGGAUGAUGUCAGGUCAGUAUUGCCCUUACGCCCUGGGCUAGAAACGCGCUACAAUGGUGGUGACAGUGGGCAGCGAGACCGCGAGGUCGAGCUAAUCUCCAAAAGCCCAUCGUCAGUUCGGAUUGCACUCUGCAACUCGAGUGCAUGAAGUUGGAAC
rnacentral:rRNA from 1 species